AACGAACGCUGGCGGCAGGCUUAACACAUGCAAGUCGAACGCACCUUUCGGGGUGAGUGGCAGACGGGUGAGUAACGCGUGGGAAUCUACCCUUCUCUACGGGAUAGCUCCGGGAAACUGGAAUUAAUACCGUAUACGUCCUGAGGGGGAAAGAUUUAUCGGGGAAGGAUGAGCCCGCGUUGGAUUAGCUAGUUGGUGGGGUAAAGGCCUACCAAGGCGACGAUCCAUAGCUGGUCUAAGAGGAUGAUCAGCCACAUUGGGACUGAGACACGGCCCAAACUCCUACGGGAGGCAGCAGUGGGGAAUAUUGGACAAUGGGCGCAAGCCUGAUCCAGCCAUGCCGCGUGAGUGAUGAAGGCCCUAGGGUUGUAAAGCUCUUUCAGUGGGCACGAUAAUGACGGUACCCACAGAAGAAGCCCCGGCUAACUUCGU
rnacentral:rRNA from 1 species